GCGGGCUUGGCCGAGUGGUCAGGCGACGGCCUUCCAAGCCGCGAACGUCGGUUCGAUUCCGAUAGCCCGCUCCA
rnacentral:tRNA from 5 species